AUCGCGUGUAGCAGUGAAAUGCGUAGAGAUGUGGAGGAAUACCGGUGGCGAAGGCAGCCCCCUGGGCCAAUACUGACGCUCAUGCACGAAAGCGUGGGGAGCAAACAGGAUUAGAUACCCUGGUAGUCCACGCCCUAAACGAUGUCAACUAGUUGUCGGGUCUUCAUUGACUUGGUAACGUAGCUAACGCGUGAAGUUGACCGCCUGGGGAGUACGGUCGCAAGAUUAAAACUCAAAGGAAUUGACGGGGACCCGCACAAGCGGUGGAUGAUGUGGAUUAAUUCGAUGCAACGCGAAAAACCUUACCUACCCUUGACAUGUAUGGAAUCCUGCUGAGAGGUGGGAGUGCCCGAAAGGGAGCCAUAACACAGGUGCUGCAUGGCUGUCGUCAGCU
rnacentral:rRNA from 1 species